rnacentral:rRNA from 1 species
AGUGAACGCUGGCGGUAGGCCUAACACAUGCAAGUCGAACGGCAGCACAGUAAGAGCUUGCUCUUACGGGUGGCGAGUGGCGGACGGGUGAGGAAUACAUCGGAAUCUACUUUUUCGUGGGGGAUAACGUAGGGAAACUUACGCUAAUACCGCAUACGACCUACGGGUGAAAGCAGGGGAUCUUCGGACCUUGCGCGACUGAAUGAGCCGAUGUCGGAUUAGCUAGUUGGCGGGGUAAAGGCCCACCAAGGCGACGAUCCGUAGCUGGUCUGAGAGGAUGAUCAGCCACACUGGAACUGAGACACGGUCCAGACUCCUACGGGAGGCAGCAGUGGGGAAUAUUGGACAAUGGGCGCAAGCCUGAUCCAGCCAUACCGCGUGGGUGAAGAAGGCCUUCGGGUUGUAAAGCCCUUUUGUUGGGAAAGAAAAGCAGCAGGUUAAUACCCCGCUGUUCUGACGGUACCCAAAGAAUAGGCACCGGCUAACUUCGUG